rnacentral:rRNA from 1 species
GACGUAGGGCGCGAGCGUUGUCCGGAUUUAUUGGGCGUAAAGAGCGUGUAGGCGGCCAGAUAAGUCCGCUGUGAAAUCUCGAGGCUCAACUUCGAGCUGUCGGUGGAAACUAUCUGGCUAGAGUCCGGAAGAGGAGAAUGGAAUUCCUGGUGUAGCGGUGAAAUGCGCAGAUAUCAGGAAGAACACCCGUGGCGAAGGCGGCUCUCUGGGACGGUACUGACGCUGAGACGCGAAAGCGUGGGGAGCGAACAGG